CUGUACUCACUUCAGCACAGACUAACGUUGGAACCAUACAGAGAAGCCUGGCACGGCUCCUGCACAAGACGACAUGCCAGUUAAUGAAGCAGUCUAUACUUAA
ensembl:snRNA U6 U6 spliceosomal RNA